rnacentral:rRNA from 1 species
CGCAUCUGUGCAUGCAGCAUAUCAAUAAGCGGAGGAAAAGAAACUAACAAGGAUUCCCCUAGUAACGGCGAGUGAAGCGGGAAGAGCUCAAAUUUGAAAUCUUAAAGGGUUUCCCUUUACGAAUUGUAGUUUAAAGAAGUGUUUUCUGUUGAGGUUUCGGUAAAAGUUCUUUGGAAUAGGACAUCAUAGAGGGUGAGAAUCCCGUAUUUGACCUUUACUUUCAACUUUGUGAUACACUUUCAAAGAGUCGGAUUGUUUGGGAAUGCAGUCCAAAAUGGGUGGUAAAUUUCAUCUAAAGCUAAAUAUUGGCGAGAGACCGAUAGCGAACAAGUACCGUGAGGGAAAGAUGAAAAGAACUUCGAAAAGAGAGUUAAACAGUACGUGAAAUUGUCAAAAGGGAAGCGUUUGACACCAGUGUUGUUUUUCUGAAAAUCAAUUAAAGAACUGUUUAUGCUAAGUUGUUUAGACUUUAUCAGCUAACUGUUUAGUUUUGAGCUUUUCUUUAAUGCACUUUUCAGUUAACAAGUCAACAUCAAUUUCUUUUGCUGUAAAAAAGCUUGAGGAAGGUGGCUUGAGAUUCGUCUUAAGUGUUUAUAGCCUCUUGCCUAUGCAGUCGGAGAGAUUGAGGUCUGCAGCGUAGAUCCUUCGGGGCUAAAUGCAUUUGUGCUAAGUUAUAGCAUUUUAUAGACAACUUGUUGACUAUGAUUUGUCUUGUAGCUUACUCGCUUAUGUUAUUUUACCUACGCUUAGGAUGUUGAGUCGUAGAGCACGCAG